AUACGCACUCGAUUUCAGAAUCGUUCAACACAUUUGCCUGACGAAAUGUCGCCGUUACGACUUUAUUUCAUGGGAGUAUCCAGAAAACGAAGAAGCCCAACAGGGAAAAAGCAGCGCUGACGGUACGGGAGGGCAAACAUGGGAAAACAAGAAACACUUUGCUGAGUGGGUGGCUCGUCCUAGUCACUGCAGAAGAAAACGCAUGCGGAAACCAAGACCUCUGCAGCGUCGCCACCUGUGCAACCAGGUUCGCAUUGAGAACCGUGGAAGCAUAGGUGGCUGCAGUGGAGCCGGAGAUCUAGCGGUGAUUUGAAAGAGUUCUCACAGGCAGAAAAACAGAGGUGGAGUCAUCAAGCAGGAGUGGGACUCGCUUCUGCAUAGCCCCGCUCUGGACAAGAAAAUCCUGGCUGUCCGACGUGCCCGAGACCGGGCCGGUGGGCUAGACCUGCCGGUCCCGACGUGGGACUAGCCGGGUGCGCGACGAGUUCGCGUCCUCGCCGGACAUGCAAUAAAGUUUCUUCACUCACUCACUAUAGGCGACUAACGCGCACUUUUCAGUCCAGGCGAUGGGAUAUCGUCUCUAAAGGUAAGCAGGCGUAACCAUUUUUAUUAUUUUUAUCCCAGCGCGGACUUGUGGCCAGUCACUGCUGAAACCGAGAUAUAGACUUUAUCUUAGUAAAUUGACAGAGUAAGUGAUUGUGGUGACGAAUACGCCAUCCCAAGAAGAGCGAGUGUCAACGCCCCUUUUUGUGACACCAUGGCUUGUGCAGUGUUCUGUAGGUGAGCAAUAUUCCGUGAAAAUGGAGAAGCUUAUGCAGGUCAUUUAACUCCGAUUCCAGCCAAAGUGUGGCCUCCAAUCUCAGCAGCCAGAACCGCGUUUAGGAUGCCUCGAUGGCAAACAUUAUCGUAAGCGUCUUUCUCGUCUAGACAUAAUAGCACUACAGAGGCACACGUGGCUGAUUUCUGUUGUGAAUUGAAUACUCAAGAUCGGCGACGUUGUCGACCGACCAACGGCUACGCCGAAGGUCUGUCAUUUUGUAUAUAUAAACAUUUUUUUUCAAGAAAUCAAUCAAGACGAGGGAAGACCAUGCUUUCCAGAGACAGCUGACAAAAGCAGUAAACCGAUAUGACGUUAGUUGUAACGCAGAUCUUUAUUACUGUAGCAAACUGGGACAAGACGUCUACGUUUACAUGCAGAAACAGCGCUGCUACAUGAAAUGUUCAGCAGGAUCUGCUGUGGUUUGUGGUCAAGUGGCGAAGGGUGGCGUACAUUAUAUCGUCGGAUCGGGGUAUAGAUAGAAGACUACAAAUAACCAGAGUAUCCUAUAGUUCCUCCGUAGAAAAAGGGGCCUGCAUUAGAGAAUCUCGCAUGACGGAGUCUUCACACAAUUUGAGCCCUUUUGGUAACGCUAUGUCACCUGCGAUUAUCUCACAAAAGGUAAUAGCACGUACGCACAUGGGCUUAAGCUUCCGUCGUUCAUGUCACAUGCUAUCCCAUAGUCCGAUGAAUUUAAGAAACUAAGGAGCGGCUUUAUUUUUCGAUUGUAUCAGAGACAAGUGAGGCCACAUUCUUAUACUAUUGUAUUCACUGAGCGGUAUGUUGUACAAUUACCUACAAUGGCUCCUGCUGUAGUUUUUCAGUCGCUCUGUGAACAUUCAAGCAUCACACAAAUUUGCAUUUGCAAAUUUUAAGUAACACAAUAAGCUUUGGUGAAUACAACAUUACCAUGUAAGGUUUAUGCAACAUAAGUGCUAGUCUGAUGGUUGAUAUAAUUUAGGCAUUCAUUGGCUCUUGAGUAACCUGUUUCAUUUUUUUUCGGUUUGCUUUUGCAUCUGCCACGAGCACCAACAGUUUGUCGGAAACCAAGGACACGAAGACGAGGUACGGAGACGAAUAAAUGAUAUCGU